UCAAGAAUCUUCCUCAAUGGGCGAAAGCCUGAAGGAGCGACGCCGCGUGUAUGAAGAAGCCCCUCGGGGCGUAAAGUACUUUUCUCUGGGACGAAACAAUGACGGUACCAGAGGAAUAAGGAGCUGCUAACCUCGUGCCAGCAGCAGCGGUAAUACGAGGGCUCCAAGCGUUAUCCGGAAUUACUGGGCGUAAAGAGUGUGUAGGCGGUUUGCCGCAUUUUCUGUUAAAUCCCGAGGCUCAACUUCGGAACCGCAGAAAAGAUGGGUAAACUAGAGGUCGGGAGAGGCGAGUGGAAUUGCCGGUGUAGGGGUUAAAUCCGUUAAUAUCGGCAGGAACACCAAAUGCGAAGGCAGCUCGCUAGAACGAUUCUGACGCUGAGACACGAAAGCGUGGGGAGCGAAUGGG
rnacentral:rRNA from 1 species